UAACUACAAUCUGCCAAAUUUUUCUUUCAAUUGUCCUCACACAGAAUGAUCAAAUUACGACAUCUUUUCUUUGCUGUGGCGAUUUUAGGACUUUUGUGUGUGGUUUGUUUGGACGGGCGAGUUCGUGAAGGUUGUUCAACAAUAAUGUGCGACCCCAGGGAACACUGUAAGUACGGCAGGGUAUGGCGAGAUAAGUGUCCAACGUGUAUAUGUAAACGAAAACCUGUACGAUAACUCAGUGAUCUGGGGUACUCGAUGCUCUGAUACAAUGAAGAUCGCGUAAAAUAAAGAUUAAUAUAUUC